rnacentral:rRNA from 1 species
AUUGAACGCUGGCGGCAGGCAUAACACAUGCAAGUCGAACGAGUGGCGGACGGGUGAGUAAUGUCUGGGAAACUGCCCGAUGGCGGGGGAUAACUACUGGAAACGGUAGCUAAUACCGCAUACCAUCGGAUGUGCCCAGCUGGGAUUAGCGAGUAGGUGGGGUAACGGCUCACCUAGGCGACGAUCCCUAGCUGGUCUGAGAGGAUGACCAGCCACACUGGAAUGGAGACACGGUCCAGACUCCUACGUGAGGCAGCAGUGGGGAAUAUGGCACAAUGGGCGCAAGCCUGAUGCAGCCAUGCCGCGUGUAUGAAGAAGGCCUUCGGGUUGUAAAGUACUUGCAGCGAGGAGGCGUUACUCGCAGAAGAAGCACAGGCGAACUCCGUGCCAGCAGCCGCGGUAAUAC